rnacentral:antisense_RNA from 1 species
AUAGCCUGAUUGAUGGCUAUACAGUUUAAGUAGGCCCCGGUAAUCUCCUGACCCGCCAAGAUUAGAGAGAUUAUCGGGGUUUUUGCUU